GGUCAAGAAAACCUAUCUUAUGUUGGAUGAAGAUUAACGAAACGACGAAUGAAAAAUGAGAUACAUAUAAAGCAACAAGUGUAUCACAGAUCACUGUUUCUAGGGGCAGCCACUUUCCAUCUAAUAAGAAGUCCUAUAUAGAGACUCACAAUAACAGCCAUGUGAGUGAGACUGGAAGUGGAACCUUCAGGCCCAGUCAAGCUUUCAGAAGACUGCAGUUCUGGAUGACAGCUUGACUGCAACCUCCUGAGAUCCUGAGCCCAAACAACUCAGCUAAGCUGUUCCUGAUCCUCAGAAACUGUUUUGUGCUACUAGAGGUCUGCAUCUAUUUGUGCUAGAACUGUACAGAUGGCCAGGGCUGGCCAGAACACCUCUGCAGCCAUAAUCAAAGCUUCGAAGAACCACCUUGCCCUUCCAUGAGCUUCCCAUCCAGAGGCUGAGCGAGGCGGGAAUAAGGCAUCUGCCCUCUUGUCCAACUGCAACAGCAGAUGCUUGCUCCAGGAGACUGGCCGAGGCUUUCCAGACCCCUGUCACUUUUCCUCUGCCCAAUGCUCCUUCCUCCCCUUCCUUU